CAUGGUUUGUCAUGGCAGAAUGCGAGCAGCUUUUCCUUUAUGUGACCGGAUUAAGUGUUUUUAAGACUUAUAUGCCUAUGUAGGCUCUCUAAUACCUACUCCCUUCCUAUGGAGGAGGUUUGUUGCGGGCUAGCCUCCUUUGCUUGGUUCACCACGCAGGUGCUGUUGGGCGUGGUUGGAAUUAGGAAGGAGAUAAAAGCAGCGUGCAGGGCUGAUGAGUUGUUUGGUUGGCCCGGUUAGCGUGCGUCAAGUGCGAGCUGGUAGAGGUUAUUUAUACAGGAGUCUGAGUUCCCGUCUUUCGCGUCAAGCACAGCUUGUUAAAAGUUGGACGAGUAGUUAAUUCAUACUGGUCGGCGCAUCGCCUUUGUUCUCGGCCGAAAGCGGGGAUGCUGUGGGCUGGAGCAACGAGAGCUUUUCUUUCACACUGGCAACGUACUGCUGUUCAUAGCAGUAAACAGGAAUGCCUCCUUGGUCUUAAACGGGAAGCCUAGUAGCCGAGCGAGGCACCAGUAGUUAAUGCAACUAAGAGCGGGGACCCUUCGUGCAAGGUAGCCAUUCAUUAAGGUGAUGACACGUUGAGCUGGAGGCCGUGGAGAAGCAGAUUCAGGUCCUGGAGCAGAGGCAGGCCCAGCUGAGAGAGCGGAGAGCCGCGCUGGAAACCUCCCGGGCUGACGCUCACAAGUCCAGGGAUUUACACAAGCUCUAGUCUGGAUCCAGAACACCUCAGAAGAGAUGAUGCCAACCCCUCAGAGGACCUCAGAUGAUGCUAACCCAGAGACAACAUACAGAACUACCACAUUUUGCUAUAAGUUUGAUUGCAUAAUUGCUGUUAAUCGUCUGUUUGUUUACGUCUUUUAUUGAUUUUUCUGAACAUUUAUGUGCCGUAUGCACAUAAACUGACAGUCACCACUGUUAAGCUACUCCUAAAUAUUGUAGAAACGUAAUUUUCUGUAAAGUUGCUUUGCAAUGAUUUGUAUCUAAAAAGUGCUAUACAAAUAAACUUGAUUUGAAUUGAAUUGAA
ensembl:lncRNA